rnacentral:lncRNA from 1 species
CCCUCCACAGCCGGCUCCUUGAAGGAACGCUGUUCCCUUGCUGCUCCUAUGUCCCCUCAGCUCCCCACGGCGCUCUGACCCGCCCCACCCCAUCACUGUGUAGUCCUCGCCAGACUGCCUGUCCGCACAGCUCUCCAGACAGAGGACCCCAGCACUGUCCCUUGGCACCAGGACAUCACCCUCCCACCUCUCCCAGACCCUUCUCCUUGACCUCUUUAGAGCAGCCAUCCUUGGAGUUGCUCAACGCCCUCUUCUUUUCUCCCUCUGAACCACAGCUUGGCUCAUCUACUUCCGGGUUAGCUCAACGCCCUCUUCUCUUCUCCCUCUGAACCAUGGCUUGGCUCAUCUAUCACUGGGCUCCCCAACUCCAAACCGUCCCCCACACUGCAGCCCAGGAUGGGUCUUCUACAGCGGGGACCUCCCCUGCCCACCCCAUCCGGCUGUCAGCACCUGUCCACUGCCUCUCCUACCUGGAUUUCAGCCCCACUCACUCCUCUAAACUUGCUGCCUUCUC